UGCAUCUCUGGUCGCACAGCCUCGGCCUGUGCCCCACGAAUAGCAUCCAAUACUGGAGUCAUCACAGUCAGUCUCAAGCAUACAUCUCGCAAUGGAGUGCUCUCCGCCCUGCGGCUCAAUGCAUCGGCUACCACAUUAGCCUUGCCUGGGUGGUACAGGAUCUCACAAUCAUAAUCCUUGACCACAUCCAACCACCUCCUCUGACGCAUAUUUAGGUUGGGCUGAUCCAUCAAAUACUUCAAGCUCUUAUGGUCCGUGUAUAUCGUACAUCGAACCCCAUACAAGUAGUGACGCCAAAUCUUGAGAGCGAACACUACUGCCCCCAACUCUAAAUCAUGCGUGGGAUAUCUCGCCUCAUGAGGCUUCAGCUGCCUCGACGCAUAAGCUAUCACAUGACCCCUCUGCAUCAACACUGCACCCAGUCCCGAAAUCGAUGCGUCGCAAUAUACUACAAAAUCUUCCAUCCCUUCCGGGAGAGCUAAUACCGGGGCUUCGCACAACCUCUGGCGAAGUGUCUCAAAGGAGGUCUGCUGCUCGGGCCCCCAUGAGAAUGCAACACCCUUCCGGGUCAAUCUGGUGAGCGGCACUGCGAUCUUGGAGAAAUCCUUAAUGAAUCUCCGAUAAUACCCUGCCAACCCAAGGAAGCUCCUGAUCUCAGAGGGUGACUUCGGCACCUCCCAACUCAUCACCGCCUCAACCUUGGCCGGAUCGACCAAUAUCCCUUUCUGAUUAACAACAUGUCCUAGAAAUUGGACCUCCCGCAACCAGAAGUCACAUUUGGAGAACUUUGCAUAAAGCUUCUCCGACCUCAAUACCUCAAGGACCUCCCUCAAAUGCUCCUCAUGCUGCUCUCUAGAUCUCGAAUACACUAGAAUGUCGUCGAUAAAUACAAUCACUGACCGAUCCAACAUCGGCCUGCAUACCCUGUUCAUGAGAUCCAUGAACACAGCCGGGGCAUUGGUGAGCCCGAAAGGCAUCACCACAAACUCAUAAUGCCCAUAUCGCGUCCUAAACGCUGUCUUCUGGACGUCCUCAUCCCGCACUCUCACCUGAUGGUACCCUGACCUCAGAUCGAUCUUGGAAAACCAAGAUGCUCCCUGCAACUGAUCGAAUAAAUCAUCGAUCCUCGGUAACGGGUAACGGUUCUUGACCGUCAACUUGUUCAACUCCCGGUAAUCAAUACACAUCCGGUGUGAACCAUCCUUCUUCUUGACGAACAGAAUAGGUGCUCCCCACGGCGAGCUGCUCGGCCGAAUGAAUCCCUUCCCCAGCAACUCCUGAAGCUGCGAGGACAACUCUUGCAUCUCUGGAGGUGCAAGACGAUAAGGCACCUUAGCAAUAGGCGCGGCCCCCGGAACCAGAUCGAUACCAAACUCUACUUGCCUCACAGGAGGUACUCCCGGCAGCUCCUCGGGGAAAACAUCUGGAAACUCACGCACCACAGGGACCUCCUCAACUGACUUCGGUCUCUCGGAAACCUCUCGCGUAUCCAUCACAUACGCCACAAAACCCUUACAGCCCUGCUGUAGACACUGCCUCGCCCUAGCGGCCGAACAAAAAGCUGAUCCCGAACGGGUACCCUCGCCGUACACCGAAAGAACUCCCCCACUAGGGUCUCGUAUAGUCACCAGCUGACGCUCACAGUCGAUGACGGCGCCGAAUCGGCUCAACCAGUCCAUGCCCACAAUGACACAGACAUCACCCAUCGCAAUAGGAAUCAGAUCAAUCGAAAACUCGACCCCGAAAAUCUCUAACACACAUCCCCGGAGAACCUCCGUGGCACAAAUCACUCUGUCGUCAGCUAUAGAAACUCUCAGAGGCCGACUCAGCGACUCACGACUAACUNCGGUACCCAAAUCCGACCCUGAAACGUCAGAAGUCCUCGUCCAUCCUCAACGAACUCUGAAAUUAACCCAACGACCCGCUCUUUUUUCUGCAUCUCUGGUCUCAUAGCCUCGGCCUGUGCCCCACGAAUAGCAUCCAAUACCGGAGUCAUCACAGUCAGUCUCAAACAUACAUCUCGCAAUGGAGUGCUCUCCGCCCUGCGGCUCAAUGCAUCGGCUACCACAUUAGCCUUGCCUGGGUGGUACAGGAUCUCACAAUCAUAAUCCUUGACCACAUCCAACCACCUCCUCUGACGCAUAUUUAGGUUGGGCUGAUCCAUCAAAUACUUCAAGCUCUUAUGGUCCGUGUAUAUCGUACAUCGAACCCCAUACAGGUAGUGACGCCAAAUCUUGAGAGCGAAUACUACUGCCCCCAACUCUAAAUCAUGCGGGGGAUAUCUCGCCUCAUGAGGCUUCAACUGCCUCGACGC
rnacentral:lncRNA from 1 species